rnacentral:misc_RNA from 1 species
UGCUAAACUCAAGCCUACUUGUAGGCCUGGUCUUGGGUGUUGUCCUCUCUGGAGGACACGCCUCAAAUGCAAUGGCGACACUGCCUGGCUUCAAGCGUCUAGGAAACUUCAUCGCUUCUGUCAGAUAAAUGUCUGCCUCUCAACCCCAAUUUUAUUUCUGGGUUGACCUCGGAUCAGGUAGGGAUACCCGCUGAACUUAA